rnacentral:rRNA from 1 species
UACAGAGGUGGCGAGCGUUGUUCGGAUUUACUGGGCGUAAAGGGCGCGUAGGCGGCCGCGUGUGUGGGGUGUGAAAUCUCCGGGCUCAACCCGGAAAGUGCGCCCCAAACUGCGCGGCUCGAGUGCGGGAGGGGAGAUCGGAAUGCAGGGUGUAGCGGUGAAAUGCGUUGAUAUCCUGCAGAACACCGGUGGCGAAGGCGGAUCUCUGGAACGCAACUGACGCUGAGGCGCGAAAGCAGUGGGAGCAAACAGGAUUAGAUACCCUGGUAGUCCCUGCCCUAAACGGGGCACGCUUGGGGUGGGGGGAUUUCACCCCCCCCGUCCCGGAGCUAACGCGUUAAGCGUGCCGCCUGGGGAGUACGGCCGCAAGGUUAAA